rnacentral:tRNA from 1 species
GGGCCUGUAGCUCAGCCAGGCAGAAUUGGGUGUGUUGAAUGCCUAAAGCGGCUGGCUCUUAACCAGUAGGCCGUGGGUUCGAAUCCCACCAGGCCCGCCA